rnacentral:siRNA from 1 species
AAGCGUGUAACCUUACAGCUUGG